AAAAACUAUCUGAAGCUAUUGCGUCUUUGAAUAGCAACAUCAGGUAGUGCCAGUGAAGUACUCAAAGAAUGGACAGUAACAGGCAAGAAAAAGAACAAAAAGAAGAAAAACAAACCGAAACCUGCUGCAGAACCAAGUAACAGCAUCCCAGAUUCCAGUAAAUCAGUUUCCAUUCAAGAGGAACAGUCUGCGCCUUCCUCAGAGAAAGGUGGUAUGAAUGGCUACCAUGUCAAUGGUGCCAUCAAUGACACUGAGUCUGUGGACUCACUCAGUGAAGGUUUGGAGACACUUUCAAUAGAUGCCAGAGAAUUGGAGGAUCCUGAGUCUGCCAUGCUAGAUACGCUGGAUAGAACAGGAUCCAUGCUGCAGAAUGGUGUCUCUGAUUUUGAGACCAAGUCUUUGACUAGGCACUCUAGUCACAAUUCUCAACAACCCAGGAAUGCUGCCAAAUCUCUCUCAAGACCUACCACAGAAACUCAGUUUUCAAAUAUGGGGAUGGAAGAUGUUCCCCUCUCCACCAAUAAAAAGCUAAGUUCCAAUAUUGAAAAAUCUGUAAAAGACCUCCAGCGCUGCACAGUGUCUCUUGCACGGUAUCGAGUUGUAGUUAAAGAAGAGAUGGAUGCCUCCAUUAAGAAAAUGAAACAAGCCUUUGCUGAAUUAGAGAGCUGUUUAAUGGAUCGAGAAGUGGCGUUGCUUGCUGAAAUGGACAAAGUGAAAGCUGAAGCAA
rnacentral:sRNA from 1 species